rnacentral:hammerhead_ribozyme from 1 species
ACCCACUGACGGAUCCCAAAUAGGACGAAACGCGCGUCCUGGAU